rnacentral:lncRNA from 12 species
CAGGGAAGUCCCUCCUAAAGCUAACCUAAGUGCCUCCUGCUGUAGCAUCAACUCCUCUGGGGAUGGAACCCAGGGGACAGGCUCUGGUCUCAGGGGGCCUCAGGAACCAGGCUGCGGAGUGGGGAGACAACUUGGCCCCCAAAUCCCAUGGAUGAGUUGGGGAGAUGUGCUGGCGCUACCCUGUACCUUCUUGAGAACUGGCACUCUGCAAAGGACUUCCAGGGGAACCUGCCCCUGGGAGGAGAGGCUGGGGCAGGCCUCCCAGAGCCCU